GAGUGACGUCGUUUGGUACGUUUUUCUCCUGGUAUCCACUGUAGGCCUCUAUGAAUUUUGACCAUAAGGCACGCGGUGAAUGCCAAGAGCGAACGAAACUCUACAAAAUCCAACAA
rnacentral:pre_miRNA from 15 species